CGCUGCUGUCUCUUUCAGAAUCGUCUGUUGGCCGAGUGUGUGCGUCUUCCUCCACGGUCUUCAUUUGACCUGUUAAAGUGGUUAGUGGAUAGAAGGCCUCACUACUGACCGACCCAACAACAGCAACACAGUGGAGCAGGAGCCGCAGGGUGAGGCUGUAGUUGAAGUGAGAUAUCUGCCAGACAAACUAUCGUCCCGACGGGCCCAAAAGCAGCCACGUGGGGAAGACCGAAACAUGGACAGGAUGGUGGACAAGUUGACUUCAGGCUGGAGGUUCUUUACAUCAGGUUGUACAGGCGAAACAUGGCCUCCCCUGGUGUCUCUACGAGGUAUGUCAGAACGGACCAUUCAAGAUGUCAAGUCACAACUGAGAUGAAAAGACUUGUGAGCUGCCAGAAGAUGUGAAAUUGCCAUUCUGCAUACUUGCCCAACUAAACCAGAUGACUAAAGAUCCAGGUUGUGCAGAUGAAAAGACUUGUGAGCUGCCAGAAGAUGUGAAUUUGCAAUUCUGCAUACUUGCCCAACUAAACCAGAUGACUAAAGAUCCAGGUUGUGCAGGUGAAAAGACUGCCAGAAGAUGUGAAAUUGCCAUUCUGCAUACUCGCCCAACUAAACCAGAUGACUAAUUAUCUGUGCAGAUGAAAAGACUUGUGAGCUGCUAGAAGAUGUGAAAUUGCUGUUGUGCAGAUGAAAAGACUUGUGAGCUGCCAGAAGAUGUGAAAUUGUCAUUCUGCAUACUUGCCCAACUAAACCGGAUGACUAAAGAUCCAGGUUGUGCAGGUUGGCCCAGUUACUGUGACUAAUCUUCCAGGAAGCAUCUAUGGAUUGACCUUGAGAUGGACCUUGUGUCAGUUGAAGUGUGCUGUCCCCUGAAAUCUACAGUCAAGUGAAUUUGAAGAAUUGGAACCUCGUGGCUGCAUCAACUCUGCCUGCAAGCUAAAUGUGAUGACCAGACCUGUGGGCACUUUCUGAAGAUGAAUGUCAACUUGUUUAUUUGGAAAAACAUCUCGCUGUGUCAAAAUCAGACUUGACUGUCAAUAAAGUGUCAAAACAUCCUGAAAACUGAAAUGAAUGGUGCUUUUUGUUGCGCUUAUACUGUCAAAAGUAAAUGUGAGUUUAAAAAUGUAUAAAUUCAGAAGAUGAAACCUUCAAUUGUGAGAUGUCUCCAAACCUUCAGAAAGA